ACAACGGGAAGGGAGGGAUGGGCGUGGGGGGCACGGACACAGCUGAGCAGCUGUGACCCCCUCAGGCUGGCACCGGGUGGGUUUUGGGGGGUUUGAUCUCCUCAGGCUGGCACCAGGUGUGUUUUGGGAGAUUUGAUCUCCUCAGGCUGGCACUGGGUGGGUUUUGGGGGGUUUGAUCCCCUCAGGCUGGCACGGGGUGGAUUUUGGGGGAUUUGAUCUC